ACUACUAGAGUUAAAACCACGAGCGUUUAAAACCAUUUAAAUUACUUUAUAUCUCUUCAGAGUUCAAUCUCACAUAAAACACUUCACAGAUCACCCCUAUAAUCUUUACUUUUUGAUUUAUCAAAACAACUUUCAUUCAAACAAAGAUUAACGUUUUAAAAACCUCAUGACUGAACGGUGAGUUUCCGGCCAUCGGCGAUGGCAAAGGCUGGCCGACAAAGGCUAAAACUGCCGGAGAUUGGAGGGACCGCGUCGUCGCCGGAUUAUGUGUCAGACUGGUCACGGUUGACGGUUAAGGACAAUCGCAGGAAAAAAGUUUUCAGAAAAUGUUAAGAUGUGUACCCGGAUUAUGAGGAACGAAGAUGUUCGGAAUCUAAAGAUGUUGAUGAAUCCGUUGUGUGGUUGCAGGAUUGCUGGUUAAUCCCAGUGGAGAAUUCUCGUGCUGAUAACGUGAGAGAAAUAAUUGAAAAAUGAGAAGUGUGUACUCUUUCAUUUAUCAAUCACAUAUAUAUAUAUACAAUGAUGUAGUCAAAUGUAACUGAGAAUUUAUGUAGUCAAAUGUAACUGAAACAUUAUGUAGUCAAAUGUAACUGAAACCAUGAUAAUUUAGGAGGAGAAUUAGGAGGGAAUAUAUCUGUAUUUAUAACAAUUAUAAAGUUAUAAAGCACACUUAAUUA